UGGGAAAACCAGAUGUCCGCUGUAUCCCUCGCGGGUGCAGAGGAAAGUCCGGACACCACAGGGCGGGAUACUUCCUAACGGGAAGCCGCAGCAAUGCGGAGCAGCUCCACAGAAACAAACCGCCCGGCGCGCUCCUUUUUUGGUUGCCGUUGAGAGACCGCAGCUUUUUUGUGCCGGGCAAGGGUGAAAUGGUGGUGUAAGAGACCACCGGAAGCCUUGGUGACAGGGCUUGACGGGAAUGCCUUAUCCGGUGCAAUGCCAAAUAGGGAAGCCACGAAGCGCGGCCCGCGCGGUUACGGCUUCCGGGUAGGCAGCUUGAACCCGUUCGUGAGAGCGGGUCCAGAGGAAUGGACAUCAGCCCGCGCGUGAGCACGGGCCACAGAAUCCGGCUUAUCGUUUUCCCAUGGG
rnacentral:RNase_P_RNA from 1 species